CUCUCUUCCCUCUCCGGUUCUCCCCCUCUGUUAUGUACAGUGUCUGUUCAGGAGACAGAGAGAGAGAGUGUGUGUGUGUGUUGUGUUCACAGCUAGUUCACUGUCAUAUGUUUCAGCCACAGAAAAGAUAUUUCGUUGUCUAAUCUAGAAUUCCAGUAUCUUGAUGGAUAAUUUCACCGUGCAUUCGUAAAUACAGUGAAAAUAGUUCUUAGCAUUUAUGGAUUCCAUUCUUGCCUUGUGUAUAGCACGUGUAUAAAAAAAGAGAAAAGUCUGCCGUUAAACGUUUCGUUAAUUAAUCACCAACUUGACAAUCCGUGUGUUUAACUUUUCGUUGGGAAAAUAACAGGUAAUAUGAAGCCUGUUGAUUAGACCUGAACAAAUUGAUAAGACCCAACCCCUCCCUCCCUCGAACUCCCCUCCCUCCUCCCCCCUACACAUAUCUCGACUCUGACCUACUGAUAAGAGAGCUGAUAACGGAGGCAGCAGUAUCUUCUUCAAUACCUUUCUAGCUCGUCUCGUCGUAAAUGAUCCGGUGACUUGGAAGUUGUGUGCGUGUGAUGGAGUAGAAAGAGAGAGAAAGAGAGGAUAAGAAAAUACAGGAACAGAAACAACAAAAGACAACAACAACAAAAAAAUCUCUCACUAAAAUCAGUUAAAGAGAAAGAAAAAAGAAACAAAGAAAGAAAGAAGAAAAAAAUAGCAAUAAAAACAAUAAUGUAAAAAGAAUAAAAAUUAAAUUGACGCACCAGUAAAUAGUGAAAAAAACAAUAAUAACAAAAACUAAAAGGAAGAAAAGAAAAUCUACAACAGCAAAUCCACAACCACAACAACCACAGCUUCUCUAAUAACACCUCAGCAACCACAACCCCGACAUUACAACCUCACAACCCCGACAUAACAACCUCACAACCCCGACAUAA